AAAGUUUUUAAUGUUAUGUUAUCUGAUGUUGAGAAUUUGUCAGAGGUAAGGUUAUUUUGGAUUGUAAAUCUCUUUAUCUCAGUAUUCUAAUGUGUUCUGCAUUGAUUUAGGUGACAAACUAAUAAAAUUAUUUAUGCUUUAGCAAGAAUAUCUUUAUUACAUGCUAUUCUCACAUUUUAGGAAGAGUAACAAGAAUGGAUUUAUUACGUGCUAUUCACAUAUUUUAAUAACAUUGCUUUGCAUGUUAUUACCACCCAAUCUCUUCACCAGAUCACCCUUCGAGCCAAAUUUAAUAACAUUGCUUUGCAUGCUACCAUUAAAAUCUAGCAUUGUAGAAAAAAGGAAAAAAAAACAGAUACAAACUUAAUAGAAAAAAGUACAAAAGCAGAGGAUCACAUCUUCAAAAAAGAGUAGAAAGAAAAGCAGAAGAGCAAGAUCACGUUUGCAAGAAAGAAGCAACAAGAAAAAUAGCCAGAUCAUGUCUUCAAGAGGAAGCAAAAGAGUAAGUGAUAUUUGCAUAUCAUAUAGUUAUUUAGGUUAGGUUUUAUAGUUAUUUUGCCAUUUUCUUGAUUAGUUUUAGUAAUUUCAUUGUUAAUCUAAUUAGUUUUUUAUAUUUGUUAAUUUUAGUUUAACUUAUGAAUUUCUUCUUGAUUUAUACGUUAAAUGGUGUUUUUAAAAAAUUUAAGAGUUAAUUGUAUGUUUGAAGAUUAAAUUCAAAGCCAAAAGAUGCCAAAAAUGAAAUGUAAAAAUUGCUAAAAUUAAUUGCUGUCAAAAGUUGCACAAGGACCUGCACAGCUUGUGU
rnacentral:misc_RNA from 1 species